GGCAGAGGGUGGGGCUGGGGUUCCAGGAAGCCGAAGGUCCUUUCACAGAUGGACCGUUAAGCCAGCCCAGGGGACGGCAGUGCAGCCUGAGGGAGCAAGAACUGUCACCACGGUCUGCCCGGGAAGCACUGAGGUGAUGCUGGGGUUGCAGUGAGCUGUCGAACUAGAUGUGUCAGAAAUGAGAAAGGAGAUGAGAGAACAAAUUAGAAUACAGAGUGAUCGACACUUUGAUGAAGGAAGUAGAUGGAGCCUGGGGUCCAUGAAACCCACUGCCAAACCAACCCAGACAGACUCAGUGUGACAUUACAAGCAUCCUGGGUGGAACUGCAAGACAUAGUUAUUUCAAGAGUAUGAAGAGUGUGCUGGCCAAACUCCAAGAUGGCCGCAUGAUCCCUCCUCCAGGUACUCAUGCGCUUGUAUGGUUUGCUCCCACAAUCUUCCGAGGAUUUGGUUGUAUGACUGAUCGAAUACAGCAGAGGCGAUGGCAUAGGACAUCUGAGGCUACGUCAUCUAAGGGAUACACAGGAAUUCACUCCCAUCCUCCCAUGUGGCUUCUACUUUGCUCUUAAUCUCUCAGAUCUCUCACUCUGGCAGACACCACCCACCAUGUCCUGAGGACACUCAAGCAGCUCUGUGGCCUCCUGACAAUAGCUGUUAGGUGAAACACCUUGGGUGCAGACCCUCUAGCCCCACUCCAGCCUUCAGAAGACAGCAGCCCCAGCUCAUGUGGGACCCUGAGCCAGACCACCAAGCAAACCACUCCCAGAUUCCUGACCCACAGAAACUGUGAGAUAAUGAAAGUCUGCUGUUUGAAGUCACUAAGUUCAGUGUAACUGUCACGGGCAAGAGACAGCCAAUACAAUACCUUCCUGCUUCAUACAUCAUUUUUGCAUCUAUCCAAAAUGGGAAGAAUAUUUCACAGACUUGAUGCGAAGCUGCAAGACUCCUGGUACUCCACUAAUGCAGUUGGGUCAGAGGGUGAAGAAGCAAAAGAGAGGCUGAGGGACUUGUCCAAGGUAACACAGCACUCAGCAGGGCUGCAGUGGAGCCUCAGCUUGAACUGAGCAUGCCUACUGCAAACACUGGGAUGUGAAUCACCGUCGCAGUAUUCCCAAAGCCUUCGUCCACCUUUCCAUAAGGUACAGCGCAGGAGCAUGUUAAAGCUGGCCACCAUCAACUCUAGGGAACUGCUCCUGCCUCAAAAGUGUCAGCAAUGCCUAAAGCUCUACAUUGUCAUUAAUCAAAAGUCAGCAAGGCCGAGGCGGGCAGAUCACCUGAGUUUUCUAGUAGACAUUGGUCAUGGAAAAAUCUGGUGACCAAGAAAUCAAAAAUGUGUUUGUUCCCCUCUUUCCUCAACACAGAGAAUGGUCCUCAUGCCACAUCCACCCUCCAGUUUAUUGAAGUGAACAAAUAAACUUAAACACAAAUCAUG